UACGGUGGGGGCAAGCGUUGUUCGGAAUUACUGGGCGUAAAGGGCUCGUAGGCGGCCAACUAAGUCAGACGUGAAAUCCCUCGGCUUAACCGGGGAACUGCGUCUGAUACUGGAUGGCUUGAAUCCGGGAGAGGGAUGCGGAAUUCCAGGUGUAGCGGUGAAAUGCGUAGAUAUCUGGAGGAACACCGGUGGCGAAGGCGGCAUCCUGGACCGGCAUUGACGCUGAGGAGCGAAAGCCAGGGGAGCAAACGGG
rnacentral:rRNA from 1 species